rnacentral:rRNA from 1 species
UACGGAGGAUCCGAGCGUUAUCCGGAUUCAUUGGGUUUAAAGGGUGCGUAGGUUGUUUUAUAAGUUAGCGGUGAAAUACCGAUGCUCAACAUCGGGGCUGCCGCUGAUACUGUAGGACUAGAGAUCGGAUGCAGCAGGCGGAAUGUGUAGUGUAGCGGUGAAAUGCAUAGAUAUUACACAGAACACCGAUUGCGAAGGCAGCUUACCAGACUGAGUCUGACGCUGAUGCACGAGAGCAUGGGUAGCGAACAGG